rnacentral:rRNA from 1 species
AUUGAACGCUGGCGGCAUGCCUAACACAUGCAAGUCGAGCGAAGAACUUCGGUUCUUAGCGGCGGACGGGUGAGUAACACGUGGGUAACCUGCCUCAAAGAGGGGGAUAGCCUCCCGAAAGGGAGAUUAAUACCGCAUAAUAUCGGGAUCUCGCAUGAGAACUUGAUUAAAGGAGCAAUCCGCUUUGAGAUGGACCCGCGGCGCAUUAGCUAGUUGGUGAGGUAACGGCUCACCAAGGCGACGAUGCGUAGCCGACCUGAGAGGGUGAUCGGCCACAUUGGAACUGAGACACGGUCCAGACUCCUGCGGGAGGCAGCAGUGUGGAAUAUGGCACAAUGGGCGAAAGCCUGAUGCGGGAACGCCGCGUGAGUGAUGACGGCCUUCGGGUUGUAAAGCUCUGUCUUUUGGGACGAUAAUGACGGUACCAAAGGAGGAAGCCACGGCUAACUACGUGCCAGCCGCCGCGGUAACAC